UCACCCUGACUUUGCAUCCUGCAGCCCGCAGGUAAAUUGAGUUUGAGACCCCUGGUGUAGAGCAUCUGAAGCCACAAGGAGGAGCCAGAGCGUCCUCUCCUGAGUGUGAAGCCGGCUCUAGAUGUUGCUUCUGUGACUGCCUCUUCCCAUUGAUGAUCGUUCUCCCUUUCCUCUGGAAAGGGUAGAGGGAGAGGAUGCAGUCUGAGUGGU